rnacentral:rRNA from 1 species
CAGUCGCCGCGGGAAUACGAAGGGGGCUAGCGUUGUUCUGAAUUACUGGGCGUAAAGCGCACGUAGGCGGACAUUUAAGUCAGGGGUGAAAUCCCGGGGCUCAACCCCGGAACUGCCUUUGAUACUGGGUGUCUAGAGUAUGGAAGAGGUGAGUGGAAUUCCGAGUGUAGAGGUGAAAUUCGUAGAUAUUCGGAGGAACACCAGUGGCGAAGGCGGCUCACUGGUCCAUUACUGACGCUGAGGUGCGAAAGCGUGGGGAGCAAACAGGAUUAGAUACCCCAGUAGUCCCUGUCUCUUAUAC